GCCCAGGUGGUGAAAUUGGUAGACACGUACGAUUGAGGUUCGUAAGCCGCAAGGCAUGGAGGUUCAAGUCCUCUCUUGGGCA
rnacentral:tRNA from 2 species